AGGGUCGAAAAUUAAAAACAAUACUCCCGUUCCUUCUUCAGGAUUUCAGACUACAUUUUUGAACGUGUGAAUGCCAAGGAUAACCAAUGCAUAGAAACGAGGUUCGUACGCUUGCCAAAGUGGCCUAGUUGCUUCUCACAUAUGUGUGGCUUAACAUGGGAGAUCAACAAGGCAUCUGGCAAUGGUUGAAGGCUGACGUCAUAACGAUCAAUCUGCUUCUCAUCAGCAAGUACCCCUUCCCCUCCACCCCCCCAAAAAACUCCUCCCUCCCCCAUCAGCCAAAUCCCCCUAACAUCCUUCCCUACCCCAUGCAUAAUUUCGUGGUAAGCUUCAUCGUUUCGUUUUUGUGUCCAUCUGUAACUUGAAGUUUGUGUAAUAUACUGAAUUGUAUAUGUAUGCAAAAUACAAUAAAUGCAAUUUUCUAUAUAA